rnacentral:rRNA from 1 species
AUCUUACCGGGUCCGGACACACUGAGGAUUGACAGACAGUUGUCUUUCCCCUUCGGGGUGGGAUUACAAAAGAUAACAGAUCUUUCAUGAUCAUGUGAUGGGUGGUGCAUGGCCGUUCUUAGUUCGUGGAGUGAUCUGUCUGCUUAAUUGCGUUUCAAAUUUUAUAUUUGUUAACAUGCGAGUCUUCAAUGACGGCCGCUCCACCUUAUAGACAUUAUAUGAUAUGCACAUUUGUGUAUUUGAUUAUAACUUGUCUGGAGUCUGGCUCGAUUUUUUUGACUCAAUUGAACGCAACGGACGUGAUUGCAAGUCCUUGUUGAACAAAUUAUAUAUAUACUACUUCAUCAUUAGUAUAUAUAGUUCGCUUCUCAUGUCGUAGCAGUCAAACGGGCGGGCGUCUUAAUUGGCGCGGUCACGAGGCUUAAUAUGCUGCGGCAGGGAAAACUUGGGCGACCGCUGUAAUACUUCUCUCUUAAACCAGAGGAAGAUUGCGGCAAUAACAGGUCUGUGAUGCCCUCUGUCCCGGGCCGCACACGUGCUACAUUGAUUA